GCUCCAGUCUCCAAACUGCGGCUUCUGAUACCGCGCUUUUCUGCGCAGGAGCAAUCUUGGGGCAAACGGGCCAGCCGGGGCUGCGCGCCAAGGAACAGGCGGACAUUCAACGGGCGAAGGCUCCUCCUCGGUGUUCGUUAGCACCGAGUCCCAACUUUCUCUUAAUUUCUGUGUGGGUGACGGUUUGGUGCAUAAAGUGGGCCGGCUGGAGCUCUUUGCCGCACAGCAGGCAGAAGUUCAACAGGGGUCAGCAGGAUCGUCCUGCAAUGGGGACAACUGUGUCUGUUGGAUGUGUGCGUGUCUCGAACAAAAGCAUUCCGCUGCCUCACGGUCCCAGACACUUAAGGCACAAAACUUUAAACCUCACUGGGAAACACCUUGCGGUUUGAAUAGUUCCAUCAGUGAGUCAACAGAACCGAGUGGAAGAACUUCCUGCUGGCUCAGAACAAAGAUCCCUCCAGUGCAGCCAGAACACGGGGGGCAGCACAUGUCUCCGUAGGAUCCCCUCACCGGAUGCUUGGAGUUUACCAGCCUCAUGCCUGUGGGGUCCAUUCAACGUA